UACGUAGGGACCGAGCGUUGUCCGGAAUCAUUGGGCGUAAAGAGCGUGUAGGCGGCCCCUUAAGUCCUGCGUGAAAUCUUGCGGCUCAACCGCAAGCGGUCGUGGGAAACUGGGUGGCUAGAGUGCGGGAGAGGAGAGUGGAAUUCCUGGUGUAGCGGUGAAAUGCGUAGAUAUUGGGAGGAACACCAGUGGCGAAGGCGGCCACCUGGACCGGUUCUGACGCUGAUGCGCGAAAGCGUGGGGAGCAAACAGG
rnacentral:rRNA from 1 species